GCUGUAUUAAAAAUGAGCAACCCAAGAAGGUUUUGGAAGAGAACUUGCGAAAUAGAUUUCGCUCACUAACAGCGGAAAGGAUGAUGCCAAGGAGGCUGCUUUUGCAGUUUAUGGGGUUCAGCCCUCUACUAGCCAUAGCACAGCCCGAUUUUGCAGCAACAAGACCAAUGCCGAAAAUGAAGGAACCCGAAGUCAUUCAGUAUGUGUUUGUUUGGUUGUGCCCAGGACCUUAAAGCUUCCCAAUGGUGUGAGAUUAUGACUUUUAGAUAAUCUUCAAAGAGUUCGAGGGGCGUGUGCUUCUAGCUUCUGAGUUGGAGCCAAAUUAGGAGCUUCUCAUUUUUGUUUUUUUAGUUGCUAGUUUUCUUUGUUCUUUAUUUUUGGUGUAGUUUGGUUUACAACUUUGAUUCAUGGAGUUUGCUUUUGUAGUUUCUUGUUUAAACUUUGUAUAUUUUAUGAUAAGCAAGAAUUACAUUGUAAUCAUGUAAUUUUUAUGAUUGACAUUGUAAUUUUUAUGUAAUAAAUAAAUGCCUUUAAU